UACGAAGGGGGCGAGCGUUGUUCGGAUUUACUGGGCGUAAAGGGCGCGCAGGCGGCCGCAUUUGUCAGGCGUGAAAGCCCCGGGCUUAACCUGGGAACUGCGUUUGAUACGGUGUGGCUAGAGUUCGGGAGAGGAGAGUGGAAUUCCCAGUGUAGAGGUGAAAUUCGUAGAUAUUGGGAAGAACACUGGUGGCGAAGGCGGCUCUCUGGACCGAUACUGACGCUGAUGCACGAAAGCGUGGGGAGCAAACAGG
rnacentral:rRNA from 1 species